rnacentral:tRNA from 2 species
GCGCCCGUAGCUCAGUUGGAUAGAGCAUCUGCCUUCUAAGCAGAGGGUCUUGGGUUCGAGUCCCAACGGGCGUGCCA